CAGCCGCCGCGGUAAUACAGAGGAUGCAAGUGUUAUCUGGAAUGAUUGGGCGUAAAGCGUCUGUAGGUGGCUUUUCAAGUCCGCCGUCAAUUCCCCGGGCUCAACCCUUGACAGGCAGUGGAAACUACCAAGCUGGAGUACGGUAGGGGCAGAGGGAAUUUCCGGUGGAGCGGUGAAAUGCAUUGAGAUCGGAAAGAACACCAACGACGAAAGCACUCUGCUGGGCCGACACUGACACUGAGAGAUGAAAGCUAGGGGAGUAAAUGGGAUUAGAUACCCCCGUAGUCCCUGUCUCUUAUAC
rnacentral:rRNA from 1 species